ACAUUAUUACCACAUGCACUAGGUGCAACAGUUGUGUAUCAUCAUUAUCGAAACAUAUCGCCAGCACAGUAGACUUCUUCGGUCGAAAACAGAGGAGGAAGCAGAAACAAUGGAGAAGUCCAUCAACAUAGAAGUAGCAGUAAGACCUGACGUCCAUCCAUCGUCCUGGAAAAUAAUUCACCUUCACAGUCAUGACUUAAAGUAGUUUAUUAUUGCCACAACAAGACCACAAUAAAUCAUAAGACAUCGUGUUGUUACAGGCGUCGCCAGAGAUGAUCACUCCUCACUACGACUCUCGUAGAUAUGGCACCUCCAGCCUCCUCCUCACCAUCCCCGGAGAGAAGAUAGCGUCAGCGGGUGGCAGUCUACGGGCAGAGUGCCGGCUGACACUGGGCACUCACACACUCUCCACUCACAAGACACUUAGAGUGCGAGUCCGUAUGAUCUCCUACGUCAGUAACUACCACUCCACAGCCAGCGAAUGGAAGGCCAGUGCAUCUCUGCUGCCCCUUGUAGCAGUCCUGCUGCUGCUGCUGCUGCUGUAGGUGGCAGUUCUGCUGUUGCUGCUGUACGUGGUAGUCCUGCUGCUGCUGCUGCUGCUGCUGCUGCUGCUGCUGCUCUUGUAGGUUUCAGCCCUGCCGCUGCUGUAGGUGGCAGUUCCACUAUGCUCAGGUGUGGCAGCAGUGAUGCUGUUGUCUCAUUACCUGUGCAGUCCCCUCACUCUGUGGUAGCUGGCACUGAUAUCCUCCUUAAAUGCGGUAGCUGGCACUGAUGUUCUCAAACUGCGGUAGCUGGCACUGAUGUUCUCAAACUGCGGUAGCUGGCACUAAUGUUCUCAAACUGCGGUACCUGGCAUUAAUGUUCUCAAACUGCGGAACCUGGCACUGAUGUUCUCAUACUACGGUACCUGGCAAUAUCAUUAAACUAGGGGUAGCCGGCACUAAUAUCCUCCUUAAAUGCAGUACCUGGCACUGAUGUUCUCAAACUGCGGUACCUGGCACUGAUAUUAAACUAGGGGUAACCGGCACUAAUAUCCUCCUUAAAUGCGGUAGCUGGCACUGAUAUUCUCAAACUGCAGUACCUGGCACUGAUAUUAAAGUAGGGGUUGCUGGCACUGAUAUCCUCCUUAAAUGCUGUAUCUGGCACUGAUAUUCUCAAACUACAGUACCUGGCACUGAUAUCAUCAAACUAGGGGUAGAUGGCACUGAUAUCAUUAAACUAGGGUAGCUAGCAUUGAUAUCCUCGUAAACUUGGGUAGCUGGCACUGAUAUCCUCAGACUACGGUAGCUGGUACUGAUCUCAAAGUGCCAUAUAUAACAAGCGGUGCCAUCUUACUGCUCUAUGCUACAACGCUACAACAAUGCUACCAUUCUAUGUGUCGUUGUAUGUGCUACAUAAUUCGUGGUAGGGGAACAUACAGCAGAAGUAGAUUCACUGCAAGGGAGGGCGCUCCAGUUCCUUGGAUAAAGAGUCCCUCACCGACUUCAAAACACCUCCGAUGAGGGGGUAUGUAUAGUACACUUUAUACUAUUUAGGUGAGCGCUAAACCUGUAUGUGGUCGUACAGUACGUGGUGGAGUGGGAACACAAUGCGCAUCUAGCAUAGGCCUACUGGCCCAUGCUAGGCUCACACUUGUGUACCCGUCCAGCUUGUAUUGAAAACAAAGCACUACACGACUCACGAAAUCGUAAUGACACGAUUGCAAACAAACCAUACCACGGGUGGGGAUAGAACCCGCGAUCAGAGAGUCUCAAAACUCCAGACCGUCGCGUUAGUCACUGGACCAGUGGCUAACGUCUGGGUAUCUUUAUUGUAGACGUUUCGCCAUCCAUUGGCUUUAUCAAUACGAAUUCAAGGACAUAAUUGGAGGACAGUAGAAAUAUUUACAAAAGGUGAGGUAAUCAGUCCCUCAGUCUUGGAGUUGGUGAUGACUACAGUAGUCGUGAAGAGUCUGAUGCAUUUAUCAUUGUAUUUGUUUUGAUAAAGUCACUGGAUGGCGAAACGUCUACAAUAAGAUUCCCAAAUGUUGCACAUGUGUCUUCAUCUUGUCGGUACUGGGCUAUUGAACAUCCCCCAGUGAAAAGCAGGGGUGUCACUAGCACGUUAAGAGACAACACAAUAAGUGUCCGGGGCCCAAGAUUGUUCAACUGCCUCCCAGCAUACAUAAGAGGGAUUACCAAUAGACCCCUGGCUGUCUUCAAGAAGGCACUGGACAAGCACCUAAAGUCACUACCCGAUCAUCCGGGCUGCUGUUCGUACGUCAGUUUGCGUGCUGCCAACAGCAACAGGCCCUGAUCCACCAUGAGGCCUGGCCACAGACCGGGCCGUGCGGGCGUUGACCCCCCGAAACCCUCUCCAGGUAUACUCCAGGUAUACUGUACACCAUACAUGUACAAGACGAAGUCCUUGCCACAGUGACGCUCCCUGAGAGUUUGUUCGACUCAUUUACAACUCUGUUGUCAAACCAAUACUUCCCUAUGUUCUUUCAAAAUCUAAAUUUCUUGAACUUGAAUCAAUUGCUCCUAGUCUUGUCUUGGUAAAAUAUUUUAACACGAUAUGUAUACCUCAUUCAGUCCUGUUUUCCAUUUGUACACUUCAUUCAUAUUUCUCCUAAUUUUACGACUUUCCAAAUGUGCAAGUUCAGUGCCUUAGUCUGUUUUCGUAGCAAAGGUUUUACAUACAUGGAAUCUCCGUCGUCAUGAUUCUCUGUAUAUCUUCGAGUGCAUUUGUGUACAUCCUGUAAUAUGGAGACCACAAAUGAGCAAUAUAUUCUAAAUGAGAUUUAACCAUGAGACCCCUGGCUGUCUUCCAGGCGCUGGACAGGCACCUUGAAGACAGCCAGGGGUCAGUACCUGAUCAGCCGUGCUGUGGUUCGUACAGCGGUUUACGUGCGGCCAGCAGUAACAGCCUGUUUGAUCAGACCCUGAUUCACUGCGAGGCCUAGUCAUGGACCAGACCCCGGGGGCGCUGACCCCUGAAACUCUCUCCAGAUAUUUAGGCUUCUUGAUAUGAAGCCAAGAAUUCUAUUAACUUUAUUACAAACACUCAAACACUCUUGUCUUGGCUUCAAACUUCUGUUAAUCAGAACUCCUAGAUUUUUCUCGCAUUCCCUUUGACUAAGAUGUACAUUUUUAGCUUAUACGUGAAUUAGUGCAACGUUUAGGUAUCUUUAUUGUGGAGGAAACGUUUUGUAAGCCAGUGGCUUCAUCAGUCCAAUACAGAGAAGAAUGGAGGACAAGGAGUAGUUUGAGGUAAUCAGUCCCUCAGCCUGGAGAUGUGUUCAUUCCAUUAUUCUUGAUAAAAGUAAAGCAUGUGUCCGGAGAAGAAGUUUAUAUACUGCAGACAGGUGAGGUGAAGCAGUUGUAGGCGGAAUCACCAGUGGAAAAAUCCACUAGUGGAAAAAGGUCGGUAAGGCAAGUGAAGAAUUCCCUGUAUCAAGAUCCCAAGAUGUUGCUCUGCUUGACAGAUAUUGUAAAAAUGAUUUAGAAAACCGACAAGUUGACGAGUGAAACAAUUAUAUAUUUAGGUAUCUUUGUGUAACACAAAUACUGCAUAAAUGUCUCAUUCGUCAACUUGUCGGUUUAAUAAGUUAUUUAAACAACAGCUUGUAAGUGCCAUAGUUAUUUCUUUUUCCCAGGAUGAAAAACCUUACACUUGUCCUCAACAAACUGCAUCUGACACUUUUCAGACCACACCGUCAACCUAUCCAGGUCAUCCUGUAGCCCUUUAGCAUCCAUAUCAGACAUUAUCCGACAGCUUAUUUUAGUGUUACCGGCAAACUUUAUAUCACUUUUCGUUCCCUCAUCAAUAUUGUUUAUACAGAUUAUGAACAACAAGGGUCCCAGCACUGUCACCUGUGGCACACCACUAGUAACAGGUCCCCAAUCUGAUUUCUCCUCGUUAAUUAGUCACCAUGCCUCGACCCCAGGAGAUAUUUUCUCCUGUUCUAUAUGCCUCUACAUUCUUAGUCACCUAUGUGGUACUUUAUCUAAAGUCUUACUGAGGUCCAGAUACACCUCUGUCGCUUCGAAUCCACUUCCUAAUGCAGAGUUUAUGCUGUUAAGUUUCAUUUCUAGGACCCUCUUCCCUCCAAGACUGGAUUUAUUCAAGUGGGGAGCACCACUGCCUCCUGGGCACCUACUGGCUCAUUUUAACUUAGUGGCUUGUCAUACCUUAGUGGCUCAUCAUACUUUAGGGUUGCAUUAUAUAGUAGUGGUUCAUCAUACCAUUGUCUCCCAUACCAUCGUCCACACACAUUCAAGUAGCUUAGUAAUUAUUUGAUUCAAACGUCAUAGGAUUUACAUUGUUUUUAAUUAAACAUUUUAGAUUACUUCUUUGUGGAACUCCCUAAUGUGUGAGAGCCCCCCUGACCAAUUAUCCCUGUUGCCCUCUCUUUAAAUCCGGUCCUACCUUCUUCAAACUAAGCUCUCAUAGGCGUGUAUUGCACACAAAGAAGUGAAAACGUCAGAAAUAACGUUUUCACUUCCAAUACUACCUUACCUUACGACUGUCAUGGCAUACUAACACCAAAUAUCUUUGUCCUGUUAUCAGAAUGGGUAGUCGUCAUUUCUGAUAUCUUCACUUAUUGAUGCCUGCACUCUGGGUGUCCUGAAAGCGUUACCAGUAAUGCAAAGUAUGAAUUCUUUGCUGAAACUGGAUUCUAGCAUCAACUGUGGCUUCUUUCUGUCUCCCAUCUGCUCACCCUCCAUACUUUACUACCCCAGCGUCAGCAAGUCUGUUUCAUUCAUCCCUCAAUGACCCCAUCUAUUUUUAGAAUUAUUUUAAUAUAAUUGAAAUAAAUAAAGAAUCGCUUGGGUAUGACCCAGCACUUAAAUAAAUUCUUGCCUACUGAAAUAUUACGGAAGUAAAUAACUCAACAUAUAAUACGCUGAAGGACUUAAUUAUUAACUACUGCAAGCGCUGUUGUACCUGACACUGUAUACUGGAAGCUCUGAAGAGCUUGACCACCAAACCUGAAAUUUAUACGUAAAUAUUAACAGAAAUUAAUACCUAAAUAUUACCAAGGCUUCAAAUAAGUCACUGAACAUUUCCAGGCCUUAAUGUUAUUUAAAUAUUGCCUGAUGUACGGUCUUCAAUAAAAUUAGGAAGACACACACACACA